UACGUAGGUGGCGAGCGUUGUCCGGAUUUACUGGGCGUAAAGCGUGCGCAGGCGGCUUUGCAAGACAGAUGUGAAAUCCCCGGGCUUAACCUGGGAACUGCAUUUGUGACUGCAUGGCUAGAGUGCGGCAGAGGGGGAUGGAAUUCCGCGUGUAGCAGUGAAAUGCGUAGAUAUGCGGAGGAACACCGAUGGCGAAGGCAAUCCCCUGGGCCUGCACUGACGCUCAUGCACGAAAGCGUGGGGAGCAAACAGG
rnacentral:rRNA from 1 species